UGGCUUGGACUUUCUCACCCUGG
rnacentral:piRNA from 1 species